AACCUACGGGGCGCAGCAGUGGGGAAUAUUGGACAAUGGGGGGAACCCUGAUCCAGCGACGCCGCGUGAGUGAAGAAGUAUUUCGGUAUGUAAAGCUCUAUCAGCAGGGAAGAAGAUGACGGUACCUGACUAAGAAGCCCCGGCUAACUACGUGCCAGCAGCCGCGGUAAUACGUAGGGGGCAAGCGUUAUCCGGAUUUACUGGGUGUAAAGGGAGCGUAGACGGUGCAGAAAGUCUGAUGUGAAAGGUCGGGGCCCAACCCCGGGACUGCAUUGGUAACUGUUGACAUGGAGUA
rnacentral:rRNA from 1 species